UACGUAGGGUGCAAGCGUUAAUCGGAAUUACUGGGCGUAAAGCGUGCGCAGGCGGCUUUGCAAGACAGAUGUGAAAUCCCCGGGCUCAACCUGGGAACUGCAUUUGUGACUGCAUGGCUUGAGUGCGGCAGAGGGGGAUGGAAUUCCGCGUGUAGCAGUGAAAUGCGUAGAUAUGCGGAGGAACACCGAUGGCGAAGGCAAUCCCCUGGGCCUGCACUGACGCUGAGGCGCGAAAGCCAGGGGAGCGAACGGG
rnacentral:rRNA from 1 species